UACGUAGGGGGCAAGCGUUGUCCGGAUUUAUUGGGCGUAAAGAGCGUGUAGGCGGCCAGGUAGGUCUGCUGUGAAAACUCGAGGCUACAUCCGAGCUGUCGGCGGAAACCAUCUGGCUAGAGUCCGGAAGAGGAGAGUGGAAUUCCCGGUGUGAGCAGUGAAAUGCGUAGAUAUGCGGAGGAACACCGAUGGCGAAGGCAGUCCCCUGGGCCUGUACUGACGCUCAUGCACGAAAGCGUGGGGAGCAAACAGG
rnacentral:rRNA from 1 species